CCUACGGGGGGCUGCAGUCGAGGAUCUUCGGCAAUGGGGGCAACCCUGACCGAGCGACGCCGCGUGUGCGACGAAGGCCUUCGGGUUGUAAAGCACUGUCGAGGGGGAGGAAAGCCCGCGAGGGUGUGACCUAUCCCUGGAGGAAGCACGGGCUAAGUUCGUGCCAGCAGCCGCGGUAAGACGAACCGUGCGAACGUUGUUCGGAAUCACUGGGCUUAAAGGGCGCGUAGGCGGGCCGCCAGGCCCGCGGUGAAAUCCCCCGGCUCAACCGGGGAAGUGCCGCGGGGACCGGCGGCCUGGAGUGGGGUAGGGGCGUGCGGAACUGUGGGUGGAGCGGUGAAAUGCGUUGAUAUCCACAGGAACUCCGGUGGCGAAGGCGGCACGCUGGACCUCGACUGACGCUGAGGCGCGAAAGCCAGGGGAGCGAACGGGAUUAGAUA
rnacentral:rRNA from 1 species